rnacentral:tRNA from 1 species
UCCCUGGUGGUCCAGUGGCUAAGACUCUGUGCUCCCAAUACGGGAGGUACAGGUUUGAUUCCUGGUUGGGGAA